AUGGCACGAGGUGUCCUCUCGCAGGUGGUUCUGACCCAACCAGAUCAUGUGGUGAAAAAACCAGGAGAAUCCCAUACUCUCUCCUGUGCUGUUGCUGGUUUUAGUGCUACCAGUACCUGGAUGAGCUGGAUCAUGCAGAAACCUGGCAAAGGAUUGGAAUGGCUGGUUUGGUGCUAUAGUUCUGGAGGGAAUUACUUUUCUUCUGCAAUCAAAGGGCGAUUCAAAACCUUAAAGGACAGUUCCAACUUCUAUCUGCAAAUGGAUAGCCUGACAGUGGAGGACACGGCUGUGUAUUACUGCACCAGAGAUCUAGAAACCCAAACCAGAGCUUUAUUUGACUACUGGGGACAAGGAACUCUCCUCACAGUUACAACAGCUCCUCAAAGUGCCCCCUUUCUUAUCCCCCUCAUUCCAUCAAGUAUCACAGACAGUGAAGAGAUCGCCGUUGGAUGUUUGGCCAAGGAUUUCCUACCCAACUCUCUCAUCCUCUCUUGGCAAAAGCCAAACAAUGAGAGCCUCGAGGCAGCCAAGAUCAGGCAAUUUCCUUCUAUUUUCAACUCUGUUGGGGCUUUUACUGCAAGCUCGGAGGCAACCAUCCCUGCUAGGCAGUGGCAGGCAUUCGAACCCUUCUACUGCAAGGCAGAACUUGCUUCGGAAACCAGAGUAGCUCGACUCGUUCAUCAAACACCAAUCGCAUGCCUUCCACCUGAGAUUACUAUUCGCGUGCCUCCUCUAGACGACUUUCGUGGUGCCUUCCUAAACGCCACUAUUCUCUGCAAGGCUGAUCACCUACAUACUCGGCACACUGCUAUUAAGUGGCUGAAGGAUGGGAAAGUGCUUACUUCUGGCUUCACUACCACUACAUCAACCAGGCGAGGCCGUGAUGGUUAUACCAUCAUCAGCGAGCUCACGGUCACCAAGAAGGACUGGUUUGCUGAGAAGAUAUUUUCCUGCCAGGUGCAAAAUGAGAAGAUUAAUGAGACAAGGAAUGUCAGCAAACCCUCCGCUUGUGAAGGUUGCGAUUGUAAUGUGCCGAUCCAUGUGGAGACCAUCCCCCCACCCUUCUCUGAUAUUUACCUGACCAAAUCAGCCAGGCUGACCUGCAGAAUCUCCAACAUACCCUACAGCCAGGAUCUUGCAGAACUGAACGUCACCUGGACAAGAGCAUCUGACAACAAACCAUUGGAGACCGUAAUUGGACAAGCUAAAGAGCAAGAAAACAGAGAAAUGUUAUUCGUGGAUGCAACGGUCACCCUUUGCCCAGAUGAAUGGGAGAAUGGGUCCACCUACAAGUGCAAAGUUACUCUUCCCCUAAUGGCCAAGGCUGAAGUGAAAUCUUUGAAGAAGCAGAAUGGUGGCAGUCGCAGGGCUCCGUCCGUCUAUGUCCUCCCCCCGCCCCCGGAACAACUGGCUUUGAAGGGAAUAGCCACCGUCACUUGCCUGCUGAAAAGUUUCUACCCCAGCGACUUCUUUGUGAAAUGGCUGCAGAAUGGUGAGCCUGUGGGAGUUUCGGAAUACUACACUAGCAACCCCAUACAGGACUCCAGGACCCCCAAGAGAUACUUCAGCUACAGCAUGUUGAAUGUCGAUGAGCAGGACUGGAGUUCUGGAGUCACCUACACAUGUGUGGUGGGACAUGAGGCAUUUCCUGUGCAGACAAUUCAGAAGACCAUAGACAAGGACACGGCUUACCUUGAUUGGACUGUAUUCAUUGAUGAAGAUGAAGGACUCCUAAACAUCUCGUCAACUCUUUCCACUUUCAUCGUCCUCUUCCUUGUGAGUCUUUUCUACAGCGGCGCCGUGACUGUCAUCAAGACUACUGGAGUAGCUGACAGAUCAACAGGUCGUCUAACUCAGCGUUCUCCAUCAAUAGCAAACCGGAUGUCCCAUUCCAGCUCCAUCAUAUAA